ACGCUUGUAGCUCAGCCUGGAUAGAGCAACAGACUACGAAUCUGUCGGUCGAGAGUUCGAAUCUUUCCAAGCGUG
rnacentral:tRNA from 1 species